GACGAACGCUGGCGGCGUGCCUAAUACAUGCAAGUUGAGCGAUGAAGAUUGGUGCUUGCACCAAUUUGAAGAGCAGCGAACGGGUGAGUAACGCGUGGGGAAUCUGCCUUUGAGCGGGGGACAACAUUUGGAAACGAAUGCUAAUACCGCAUAACAACUUUAAACAUAAGUUUUAAGUUUGAAAGAUGCAAUUGCAUCACUCAAAGAUGAUCCCGCGUUGUAUUAGCUAGUUGGUGAGGUAAAGGCUCACCAAGGCGAUGAUACAUAGCCGACCUGAGAGGGUGAUCGGCCACAUUGGGACUGAGACACGGCCCAAACUCCUACGGGAGGCAGCAGUAGGGAAUCUUCGGCAAUGGACGAAAGUCUGACCGAGCAACGCCGCGUGAGUGAAGAAGGUUUUCGGAUCGUAAAACUCUGUUGGUAGAGAAGAACGUUGGUGAGAGUGGAAAGCUCAUCAAGUGACGGUAACUAGCCAGAAAGGGACGGCUAACUACGUG
rnacentral:rRNA from 1 species